rnacentral:rRNA from 1 species
UACGUAGGGCGCAAGCGUUAUCCGGAAUUAUUGGGCGUAAAGAGCUCGUAGGCGGUCUGUCGCGUCUGCUGUGAAAACUCAGGGCUUAACCCUGAGCUUGCAGUGGGUACGGGCAGACUAGAGUGCGGUAGGGGAGACUGGAAUUCCUGGUGUAGCGGUGAAAUGCGCAGAUAUCAGGAGGAACACCGGUGGCGAAGGCGGGUCUCUGGGCCGUAACUGACGCUGAGGAGCGAAAGCAUGGGGAGCGAACAGG